GACGAACGCUGGCGGCGUGCUUAACACAUGCAAGUCGAACGGAAAGGCCCUGCUUUUGUGGGGUGCUCGAGUGGCGAACGGGUGAGUAACACGUGAGUAACCUGCCCUUGACUUUGGGAUAACUUCAGGAAACUGGGGCUAAUACCGGAUAGGAGCUCCUGCUGCAUGGUGGGGGUUGGAAAGUUUCGGCGGUUGGGGAUGGACUCGCGGCUUAUCAGCUUGUUGGUGGGGUAGUGGCUUACCAAGGCUUUGACGGGUAGCCGGCCUGAGAGGGUGACCGGCCACAUUAGGAAUGAACUGCGCACAAGCCUACGAGGGGAAGCAGUAGUGAGGAAUAUUGAACAAUGGGAGGACGCAUGCAGCAGCACCGCGGCGGGGAUGACGACGGCCUGGGGGUUGAACGCAGCCUCCGGUUACGAAGCGGGGUGAGCGAUAGUAAUGGAUGAAGCAGCAGCGGAUAACGAC
rnacentral:rRNA from 1 species